rnacentral:lncRNA from 1 species
GUGAGCUGUGGGGAAACAGCCCCAAAAGGUGACAGCCUUGCACAGGAGGUGAUGUUGGGAGAUGAAAUGUGUCUGCAAAUGUUUCUCUGUGAGGCAGAGAAAUGGUUGUGACUCGGGAAAGCCGCGGAUGUGUUUGUGAUCAGAGGCAGGCCGCGCAUUUCUGCCGCCCACCACACCUUCAGCCAGACAGGAACAAAGGGAAGAACACUCCUCUAACUCCCCAAAUCCUCAGCUCUGCCAGGAGUGCAUUCCUGCAAUCAAGAGACAGGGGUGCACAGCAUGAAAAAACAUUUAGCACUGAGCAGACUGCAUGAAUAAUUGCCUGUCAGAGCGGCUUAUUAAAGGGAAACUACAAUUUUACAAGACAAUUCUUGUAUCUGCUUGUCUAAUCUAAAGACAGAGGGCUGUAUAAAUGCAGAGAGUUCAAGGAAGAAAUAUUUCUCGCUCCGCAGUCGAGCUGAAAGUUGAGUUUUUAAAGCACUGAAAGAACAAUCAAAGUGUGACAGCUUUGAGAUGCACAAGCUCAGACCUCUCUAAAUUGGAAAGUGAAUCCUUUGUGUUUAAGGUGGCAGCGCAGGCAGGGACAUGGAGGGGAUGGAAGUGUGGCUAUGGAAACCACACU